CUUAUGAUCCACCCACCUCGCCCUCCCAAAGUGCUGGGAUUACAGGCGUGAGCCACCAGGCCUGGCCGACAAGUUCCCAUUUCUUACUAAAGAGAAGUCUUGGCAAUAACUGAACAAUGUCUCUGGCAGUUUACCCCAGAAGGACAAACUUUGACUUUUACAGGAAGCUGGCCAGGAGUGACAUAGGAGCCAUCUGUUAAGUUGAAGGAAUUGACAUUUCUAGAUCACGGUGGAAAAACUCCCACCACCCACCCAAUGUGGCCUUCACACUGACAUGUUUGUUGUGUUCCUUGUAUCCAAGGAGCCUGGAACUCAGAAUGCAUGUACCUCAUGGAACAUUAAGGAACAGUCUUCAUAAGGGCAUAAGGGCUGCUGUCCUUGUGACUAAGCACUAUUAAUACAGUGCCCAAACAGGGACAGUCUGAGUUACACGCAAUUUAGAGUCACUCAAAUUGAUCCCUCAGUUUUUGAUUAAUAGCAUAUUGGUGUUUUAAAUAAAGUAUUUUCAGAAGAGUACAAAGGGCUUUAAUUAAAUCUGAGUAAUUUUAAAGGAAAUAUAUGAUCAAAAAAGAGGAAAAAUGUGCCUCAAAAUAGACAUAAAUGGCUUAAAUGAAUGCUAAAACUGAAAAUCAAAAUAAUUUAGAAUGCACAUACUAAUUUGGAAACAGAUAUCCUGAAAAUGCCACAUCAGUAAGUUGAACAAGAAGAACGGGAGCUUUAAGAACAAGAUUCAAGAUGAAACAACACAAGUGUUGAAUAUUUUAUAAAUAGCUAAAGGCAGAAAACGUUGCCAAUUAUCUCAGACUUCCAGAAAGUGAAAACAAACAAACAAACAAACUAAAGUCUUAAUUGAAAAGAAGAAAGAAAGACAUGAAGAAAGAAAUAGAGAAUGCAUGUUGAGAGUGGGGACAGGUAAGUACCAGCUGGACUCUUACCCUGGGCUGUUGGUCCUGAGGAUGCGGUAUAGGUUCAGCCUAGGCACUGGCUCCACCCCUUGAAAUAGUUUGGAUAUUUGUCCCUGCCCAAAAUCUCAUGUUAGAUUGUAAUCCCCAGUGCUGGAGAUGGGGCCUGGUGGGAGGUGUUUGGAUCAUGGGGCAGGUCCCUCAUGGCACGGUGCUGUCUUCUCGAUAAUGAGUGAGUUCUUGUGAGAUUAGGUCCUUUAAAAAUGUGUGGCACAUUUCGCCCCUUCUGUCUUGCUCAUGUGUUUUUGCCAUGUGAUGUGCGGCUCCCCUUUCACCUUUUGCCAUGAUUGUAAGCCUCCUGUGGCCUCCCCAGAAGUCAAGCAAAUGCCAAUGUCAUGUUUGCUGUACAGCCUGCAGAACUGUGAGCCAAUUAAACCUCUUUUCCUUAUAAA